rnacentral:lncRNA from 1 species
UCAAUGAUCUGAGCUAAGGGCUCAGCUUUCAUCCACUUGGUGAAAUAGUUAAACACAGCAAUCAAAAACUUUCUCUAAUUGGUCACCAUCGAGAAUGAUUUGAGGGUGUCGAUACCCCACAUGGUGAAGGACCAAAGGGUGAUGAUUGGUGUGAGCUCAAUCAUCGAUAUCCAUUGGAUGUUGGCAUACCUCUGACACUGCACAUAUUUUCUGACGAGUUCGACUGCAUCUUAUUGUAAAGUGGGCCAGUAGUAUCCUUUUGGAUUGCUUUGUAAGCCAGCGACUUGCCCCCAAGUAAUUGCCGCAGAUCUUUUUAUGGAUCUUCCAAAGCACAUAAUGUGCAUCAAUUAUUGCAAGCAC